rnacentral:rRNA from 1 species
AGGAUGAACGCUGGCGGCGUGCCUAACACAUGCAAGUCGAGCGGAGAUGUACUGAAGAUUUAUCGGAUGUACAUCUUAGCGGCGGACGGGUGAGUAACGCGUGGGCAACCUGCCUUUCACUGGGGGAUAACACAGGGAAACCUGUGCUAAUACCGCAUGACAUCACGUAGGGCAUCCUAUGUGAUCAAAGGAGAGAUCCGGUGGAAGAUGGGCCCGCGUCCAAUUAGCUGGUUGGUGAGGUAAAGGCUCACCAAGGCGACGAUUGGUAGCCGAACUGAGAGGUUGAUCGGCCACAUUGGGACUGAGACACGGCCCAGACUCCUACGGGAGGCAGCAGUGGGGAAUAUUGCGCAAUGGGGGGAACCCUGACGCAGCAACGCCGCGUGAAGGAAGAAGGUCUUCGGAUUGUAAACUUCUUUGAUGAGGGACGAAUAAAGUGACGGUACCUCAAAAACAAGCCACGGCUAACUACGUG